AAUUAUAAUGAUCAAACUAAAAUUUUGAGCAUAAUAGUGCAUAAAAUUGAACAAACGAUGAAAAUGGAAUCGUAAAAACAAUCAAAAGAGAAUAUUUUCGAGGAUUUGAUCAUGAUCUGGUCUUAAUUUGCAGUUUUACCGACUUAGCAAAAUUCGGAGCGGAAAAAGAUGGAAUGCGGAGAUAGAGGGAAUUAAUUGUAACAUAUAAACACAUACGCCAUUCUUUAUUCGCCAAAAGUAGGCUGUUUUCAACGUAUUAUUGCUACCUGUGUGAGAAUAAAUUAAUCUCGUCCAAAUAGCUUCUAAUUGCAUUUACCUCGUCGUUUCCUAUCGAGUUUAUUUAUCGUUUUCAAAAUUCAAAACGAAGAAAAUUUUGAAUCGUUAUAAACGCUUGGACGAUUUAGCAGAGGCAGAGUGCUAAAUUUAGCGCGCGAUUCGCGGAGAACACCUUAAACGGCCAUUUACAUUUCCACCAAUGAGUUUCUUGUUCACUGUCACCUAUUCCGAUGUUUUCUUCGUUUGAAAUUCAAUGUUCUCGUCAAUUCCCAUUCUCAACAAUAUUUAUAACUCACUAUUCCAACCUCAAAAACACCUGCUGGGUCAUACUUGCAACCAAGUUCACGAACCUUGGUCAAAUUGAUGGAAAACUUAGCAAGGGCCUUAUCCAGUGUAUCGCAACGGAGGCCGGUGCGUAUUCAGGAUCUUUCGUCAUCGUCUCGAGGUAAACGACACACUGUCAAAGAAAGAGCAGUGGCGAUUCGCGUGGGCUACCGCCAGAGAACUGAGAGCGUCUGAGGCACACCUGAAUCCCAACAGCAUCGGUCACUACCUUACUACAGCGCG